rnacentral:rRNA from 2 species
UUCAAGAGUACGUGAAACCGUCCAGGGGUAAACCUGCGAAACUCGAAUGAACGAACGGAGGGAUUCAUCGCCACUCCCAGGCGCGCUUGCGCUAGCGCGAUGCCUUCGGCCUCGGUCGGCGGGCACGUCUGGCGUACGUAGCGUCCUGGGACGGCGUGCACUUCUCUCUUAGUAAUACAUCGCGACCCGUUCGAUGUCGGUCUAAGUGCCCCACGGGAGCCUUCGUACCUCUCGCGGUAUGGAGACCGUCUCAGGGUGCACCGACCGGCCGUCGGACGGUACAUUUGACGAAACGCUCACGCGCUCGCGCGCGUCCGGCCCGACGCAAGGCAACGCCGUAUCUCACGUUCUGCCCGAGUGCGGACGAGAGUGCGGCGCGUCUGUCGUCGCAGCCGUGCUGUCUCGGACUGUGUGCGUGUCUGUCUGCGAUGAUUCAGUUUCGGGCACUCGCAGGACCCGUCU